GGCAAUUUUUUUAUCCUUAUAUUCAUUUUUAUAUUUUAUCUGUAUCAUAAUUUUCUUUUUCAACCAAUAUUCAAGGUUGAUUAAAUGCUAGCUCAACAGUCUGACCUGAUACUUGAGCUUUCUUGCAUCAUGCGUGAAAAUCAAAUGACAGCCAAGCUGAUGCAUGCUAGCAAUUAGUGUCAGUUUUUUUAAAUUUUGACCUUGCUUUCAAAUAGAAGACUGAAGUUUAAUGCUGUGUUCCAUAAUUACUGAAUAACUAAUGGAUUCUACUUUCCUUUAGCUAUAUAUCAGCUAUAUGCUGAUAGAUAGUGACUACGGAGCGUUGUAUUUUAGGUGAUACAGCUGAAGUGAUGGUUCUUAUAUUUUUCAUGCUUAUCACAAAACAUUUUUUAAAAAUCUAAAAUAUAUUUUCUCUUUAAAGUAAACACUGAACAGUUCUUGUGCCUCUUAUUGCACCAAAGGGCCUGUUUGAGAGUCUAAGCCGAGAGAGGAAAUAAGACUCAAAGGAAGCGGGACCUGCAUUUGUCCUGCUAGUACCAGUGAUUCAGGCAGUCUGACACCACUAUGCAUUUUCAGGUUGUGUAAGUAACUCCUAAUGAUCUUAGGUUUUGGUAUUUAUAGAGGAACCAAUACACUAGUAAUGAAAUAAAUUACACUUAGAGAUACAUUAGUUAUUUCCCAUGUCCUAGCGUUUUUCAUGCUGUGGAUCUUCUAAAAAAUUUCCUGUAGGACCAGGAGACAAACCACACAGUUCUGAGGGCCAAAGCAGGGAAGGGGUGGGGCGGGAGAGGGUCUUCACCUUGCUAGUUAGUGAAAUGGGAGAACUGGUGGCGGUAAUGUUUAUGUGCUCUUUGGUUUGCUGCAGUGAGGGAAAUAACUGUGUCCCACUGCUCUGAGCUACUCUCACCGAGCCCAUAGGCAGGAUUCAAAGGACAUUGUUUAUUGUUACCAUUCAUGGACCAGAGAAAAAAUUAUAGCCUCUAACUGAUGAGUCAUUUUUCCUUUUUAUUGUUUGCGGAUCGAGGCUGGGAAGAGGAGCACUUGUUCAGGAGUUGCAGAACGAUAGCUGCUCCCCAAGUGUAUUUACACAUCUGAGCUUAGAUUCUAGCGGAGGAAGAGCCCAAGGAAUGCAGAGGUCACAGGCUUUUCACAGAACCAGCUUAGGAGAAGGGCUGAUCUGGUACUUAACUGGAUAGUAAUAUUUCACAUCAAGCGAUGCCUUGACUCUGCAGUUCAUUUUCCAAUUGAUUUUCUGCACAAUUGAAAGGUUGGAACUUGUUGUAUAAAACCAUGGCUUGUGUUCCUUGAAGAAUACUGUGCUCAUCGAGUUCAAAGGAAAUAGUUUAGACUGUUGGCUUGUUGUGAGUCUUCCAGAUGUACUUGCAGGGAGCAUGCAUAACCUCAUCUUCAACUUCUGCUUCAGAUGUUUGUGUCUAGCAUUUUUAAGUAGUUGAAAUUUAGUUCAUAAUUCCAUACAAAAGCUACUAUUUCUAGCCAACUAAAGCUGUAUGUGAUUAAAGAAUGUGCUCAUUUGAAUAUUUUUAGAGCUUGGCAGCAUUUCAUGUUAUGUGAUGUUUGUAAUGUGAAAACCAAGAUAUUUUUAAAAAAUAAAUUAAGCACUUGCAACUUGUGACUCUAGCAACAUACAUUGUAUUUCCUUGGCUUUAGAGAGGCUAGUCACCACAAAACUUUCUUUUGCACUCUUCUAACUUCGCAGACAUUGAAGUAAAAUGCUUGCCUUUUUUUCUUCUCCACUGAUUACACUUACUAUAGGUUAGUGCCUGAUACAUUCUUUUUCUUGACUUAGUGAGCAACAAUCCAUUCAAUGAAACAAUAGUGAGUUUCACAAAAAGGAGGAUAAGCUGAACUAUGUACAUGUAUUCAUCCAUGUACAAUCUUAUGUUUUUGGCAAUAUCAAGCCAUACUUUUCUUUAGCAGAUCACACCUUUUGUUUUAAAUUACUUUUAUUUGGCAAUUGCCAAUCUUGCCACAUCCCCUGCAUCCCCUUUGUUUAAGGGAAAUAGUGGUACCAUCAAGAUGGACUGAUCUGAUGAAUAGACUUCUGCCAUUGAAUCUGGAUUUCACUCAUGCUUCUCAUUAUGUGGGUCACAUCGAUUUAAGAUGCUGCCACUACCCUACUGUUUGCUACUAUCAGAUACCUCACAGUGAAACCAUUGGACAGGAUUGUGAGGUUUUUUGUGUACUUAUGGGCAAAAAAUCGGCUACAUUAACUUCCUUCACUGUGAAAAGGUCACCUGAGGAAAUUCUGGGAGCGCUGAAUGGCACCUCAGCCUAGUACGUUAAGAAGAGUAUGUCCUUGCUACUUUUUAUCUGAUUGUUGUGACAGAACUGUUUCCUAAAACUGUUUUUUCUUUUUGUUUUCCUUUGGUGAGAAGAUUUAGCUUUAAUUUUUACCUGAAGAUAAACACUUUGCAAACAUCUGUAAAUUUACUAUGCCCUGCUAGGCUUGCAAAUUUAUUUGCUGCUUGUCCUAUUUAGCAUAAUUUCCUUGCCUUUACAGAUAACAUCUUGAGUUUACUAGAAAUUCAAAAUCUUGGCUGCUGUAAACAGUUAUGCAUACGAUUUGUUCUUUAUCAGCUAUGCCUUAUAUGUUGUGUAUUAAAUAUUGUCUGCUGUUUGUGGUUGGAGCUGUUAAAGGAUGUGAUUUAUAAAGUUUGGUGGUUUCUUUCAGUUUUAAGUCUUCAUAAAAUGUCAGUCUGAUAACUGGAGCUGAAAACACACAAAAAAAAUCUGUUCAUUGGGCCUCCAUGAAAUAUGCCCUGACUAGGAUUUGGAGACCUCUUACAUUUCUUUCGUGAGGGAGAACCAAAACAGCAUGAACCAAAGGUUUGUAGGACUACCACCGCUGACUGGUACUCCUGCUUCAUGGAUGUUUUUCCUGAAGGAAAUACGGCUAACCAUUUAUGUUCAGGUGUGAGAAGACAGUAGGUGCGGAAAUCAACAG